AUAAUACUCCCUCCGUCCCAAAUUAACUGACGUGAAUUUGCAUAGAUUCUUAUACAAAUUCACGUCACUUAAUUUGGGACGGAGGGAGUACAAA
rfam:Brachypodium distachyon strain Bd21 chromosome 2, whole genome shotgun sequence.